GGGCCCGCACAAGCGGCGGAGCAUGCGGAUUAAUUCGAUGCAACGCGAAGAACCUUACCAAGGCUUGACAUAUAGAGGAAAAGUGCAGAAAUGCACUCCCCGCAAGGUCUCUAUACAGGUGGUGCAUGGUUGUCGUCAGCUCGUGUCGUGAGAUGUUGGGUUAAGUCCCGCAACGAGCGCAACCCUCGUCCUAUGUUGCCAGCACGUAAUGGUGGGAACUCAUGGGAUACUGCCGGGGUCAACUCGGAGGAAGGUGGGGAUGACGUCAAAUCAUCAUGCCCCUUACGCCUAGGGCUGCACACGUGCUACAAUGCCCGGUACAAUAGGAAGCAAGACCGCGAGGUGGAGCAAA
rnacentral:rRNA from 1 species